rnacentral:tRNA from 1 species
GCAGAUGUAGUUCAAUGGUAGAACACAGCCUUGCCAAGGCUGUCACGUGAGUCCGAUUCUCAUCAUCUGCUCCA